UUCUGGGGGACACUCAACGGGCUAGCCCAGCGGCGGCGCCCCGGUCCGUCGCGAAGGCGAAGCUAAACCGGGAGCUACGCUCGUAGAAUCUCACGGACGGCGCGCUCGCGGACGCGGGUUCGAAUCCCGCCGCCUCCACUC
rnacentral:tmRNA from 1 species